rnacentral:misc_RNA from 1 species
AAGCAAUUGCUUCUUUUGGUUAACGCAGACAAAUUCUGGAAGGUGUAAGCUGCAAAGCUGGUACAGUUGGUUUAUCAUUGAGGUAUGUACAUGCUUAUGAUUUUGACGCAAAACAAACUUCGGAGGAUUUUUGAGACCAAAUGAUGGUAGCACUUGAUAAUAUUUCCAUCAUGGUUGUGAUUUUGUCAUGAUUCAUUAAGGAUUUGUAUAGCUCGGUACAAUGAUAAUUCAUGAGAAGCACACAUCCAAGCUUAUUUCCCACAAAUCUCGAUGAAUAUUUUUGCUUCUUGAACUUCUUGAAGCAAAACUACCUUCUGCCUCAUCAAAAUCUUCCAUGUUUGAAAUCUCUAUCAAAAGGUCCUAGAUUCGAAUCCCAUUUGAAUCUCGUGUAGAGACCAUAUUGAAGUUGUGUUUGGAUUAUUCAUAAGCACAAUGGCACUGUGUAAGUUGAG